GAAAGCAAAACAUAUAAAGAGAACAGUACAACGUGUAUACAGAGCAUGUGAUCUCUGUGAUGCCCAGAUGGACAAAACAGACCCUCCCACCUCUGUAAUAAACACGGAGAUGUUAGUCCUGUCCAAAUUGGUACAUGAAAAUCACAGACGUCAGGUGAUAAGAAUCGAAACUCAAACGUAGUUUAGAAAACUAGUCCCGUCCGAAUAGUGCUAAAGAGGAGUUUCACAGGAUUGCAGGAUUUCCAAAUGUGGUUGGAUGCCUUGAUGACACACAUAUUCCCAUCAUUGCACCUUCCGAAAAUGAAGCUAUGUCAACAGGAGGUCUAUCCACAGUAUUAAUAUGCAGGCCAAGUGGCCCGGCUCUGUUCAUGACUCACGAAUAUAUCGGGAGUCGACCCUGAGCAACAGGCUGGGAUGUGGAGAGAUUGAUGGCUUUCUGCUGGGAAAUAGGGGUUACCCAUGCCAACCAACACUAAUAGCUAAUAACUAAUAACCCCUGAGAGGCCCUGCUACAUUAUUGCGGCAUGUGUUGUUCUCCAUAAUAUUGCCAUAAUUAGAGCAACACCCUGCCCUACAAACACAAGACCCCGAGGAAGACCCCAUCCACCCAGCAGAUUUCCAGGAUGGAAGGGUAGUCAGAGAUAUUAUUAUAUGCCGCAAUUUCUUCUCAGAUUAAUCAACAACCACCCACAAAAGAAACAAUGAAUAAAUACAA